AUAAAAACAUGCUCAAACCUAAUUUAAUCAUCCUUCAAGGGUUACAAACACCGUAUAUAUCGUAAUUGUAUUAUAAUGUGUCAAGAACGGUGUUCGAAACGAACCGUUAAGUGAAAUCAUAAGAAAUCGGAGAAGGUAUCACAGAGCGUUUCACCAAGAUUUUGGUUUUCAAACGGAAGAUCAGAGCAAAUAUGAUUGCUAAUCUAUUCCAAAAUUAACGCUCAACAUUGCAAACUGAAACCAAUAAAUCAGAACUUCAACAAACGAAUUUGUGUAUAUUGAUUUUGUUUCCGCUGAUUCAAACUCUUCAAUCAACUUCUUCUUCUGGUUCUCUGUUUUCAUUUGUAGCUCUUGAGCUUCGUUCAAUCGCAAACAUUAAUGAGGUUUGUACAUUGCUUGGUCUAGUUUCACAUCCUCAAGCUCUUCUGUCAUCGAGGUUCCAAACCAUACGCUUAGAGCUAAAGGUUACAACAAUGGUUUUGAGGAAAUAUCGUCUUCAUAACAAAAUCAAUAGGAAGAUUGGUGUUUUGGCUGGAUACAUUUCAAUAAAAAGACAUAAAGAGACAAUGGUGGAAGUUCAAGUCGCAACAUAUGGAUAAGGUUCUAUUUUUUAAGAUGGGAAAAUUUUACUAGCCCUUCAAAAUGGAGGCACAUGUUGGAGCAAAAGAAUGUGAAUAGUCUUGGGAUGGUUUUGGUGCUUUUGACAGAUAAGGGUAUUUUGGCCGUAAAGUAAAAAAUCAUGAAAAAAGAAUUCAAUAUUCAUGAUAUUUCUCAAAUUUUGGAUUUAUCUAAAUAAAGUGAUAUUAAAACUGGAAUUUUUGAUAUUCAAAGGCCAAAAGAUAGAAGAAUUUGGUUUGAAAUUAUAAGGGUAAUAGCAUUAUACUUUGCUAUUAUGAUUUUUAGAAGUGGAAAUUUUAUUUUAAAGUGGCAUAAUUUGGUAUGUAUUCAAACUAGAAUGCUUUAAGAAGUUGUUUUUUUUAUUUGAAGUUCAAGUUUGCUUUGAUGUGCUUCAAGAACUUUUAGGACGAA